CCUACGGGAGGCAGCAGUGAGGAAUAUUGGUCAAUGGACGAGAGUCUGAACCAGCCAAGUAGCGUGAAGGAUGACUGCCCUAUGGGUUGUAAACUUCUUUUAUAUGGGAAUAAAACGUUCCACGUGUGGGUUUUUGUAUGUACCUUAUGAAUAAGGAUCGGCUAACUCCGUGCCAGCAGCCGCGGUAAUACGGAGGAUCCGAGCGUUAUCCGGAUUUAUUGGGUUUAAAGGGAGCGUAGAUGGGUUGUUAAGUCAGUUGUGAAAGUUUGCGGCUCAACCGUAAAAUUGCAGUUGAUACUGGCAGUCUUGAGUACAGUAGAGGUAGGCGGAAUUCGUGGUGUAGCGGUGAAAUGCUUAGAUAUCACGAAGAACCCCGAUUGCGAAGGCAGCUCACUAGACUGCGACUGACACUGAGGCUCGAAAGUGUGGGUAUCAAACAGGAUUAGAUACCCUAGUAGUC
rnacentral:rRNA from 1 species